UACAGAGGUCUCAAGCGUUGUUCGGAUUUAUUGGGCGUAAAGAGCUCGUAGGCGGCUUGUCGCGUCGGCUGUGAAAACCCGCGGCUCAACUGUGGGCGGGCAGCUGAUACGGGCAGGCUGGAGUUCGGUAGGGGAGACUGGAAUUCCUGGUGUAGCGGUGGAAUGGCGCAGAUAUCAGGAGGAACACCGGUGGCGAAGGCGGUUCUCUGGGCAUUACCUGACGCUGAGGAGCGAAAGUGUGGGGAGCGAACAGG
rnacentral:rRNA from 1 species